rnacentral:lncRNA from 1 species
AAAGAAAACGAGUUCUCAAAAAGGCUGGGCUAGAAGUCUUAAUUGUGCAUAUACCAUAAACAUGCCGUAAAUACACGUCCUUGGUGCAGCAUAUGCAAUGAUACCCGCAUGUCAUGUCUUCAGUGAAGCAGCAUGUUGGACAACCGUUGUAUAACUGAUACCAGCACAAAUGGUUUUACGACGUCGCUCCGUCUAUUUUGGAGUAUGUUCGUCCUUUUUUUUUUUUUUUUUUAAUGUAACCAGGCAUUACUGAGUCAUUGACAGAGCCAAUUAUCAUAUGAAACCUGCUAGCACAUCUCGGCAAAGAUCAUGCGCAUUGCGAUUAUGACAAAUCGCAUAUUGGUGUCUUAGACCAGCCACCCACCUUCUACAAGACACGAGAAACACUGCCAACCCGCUAAGUCCACGCCCACUGAUGACCAGCCUGAUAAUUUUCACUCGACCCCGAUAACAGUACUCUAUGGAGAAAAUAGAACAGCUAGUAUAAAGACUAGCAAAUGGAUGUCAGGUUAAUACUGCAUGCUUAUACCAUCCAUUAAUAUGCGUGGGUUGGACGCGGGUUGAUUUUUGGCGGGAUCGGCAUGGUUCAGUUGAAGGUAGUCUCUCGACAAGAAGUGCACGUAGUUGCUGUGUCCCCGCUUUAUGUAAGGUGUCUAUAGCUACAGCUUACCAGGACACUUCGAAUGUCAUGACAUGUUUCCUUCCUUGAUGGUGAAACUUUUCAUGUGAACUGACGAGGGGCACUUGCUUCGUUGUAGUUCAGUCACGGAACAUUAUCCAGUUGACAGUUGGCAAAUGUGUACCAGUUGAUAUCAAAGCGUACGGUCGUGCACUUUCAGCUGAAAUUCGAGGUGCCGAUUUUCAGGACGCAUAUACGCCAUCGUCUCCCGAUUGGGAGCAUUUAUGUGUUGACACAUCUCAGAUACUUGAAUGCGAACUGUCCGGGAGCUGUUCAGGAAGCUUCAGGUCCCACAAGUCUGUUCAAGUCUUGGAAACAAAUCGUGACCAGAAUUGAUCAAGUUGCUGGAAAGACCUGUCUUGCACGUGCCAGCUGGGGCACCUGAUUUCUAAGACGGAAAUUGCCAAUUGUAGAUGGUGUGCUGCCGACGACCGCAGAGAAUCAACUUGUUUUCGGGCGAGGAGACUGCUGAGCGAGUAACGCCUGGAGGAGAGUCUAAUGGGCUCGUGGAAGACCAUAGAGUUAGCCUCUGACGAGCCUGCAACAUCACAUGGGCGUUAGACUCGCGGAGGAAAUUCAGACCGCUCACGCGCAUGUGCCUUUAGGUCACCCCACAUAUCGGUGUGUGUGUGUGUGUGUGUGUGUCAGUGAGUCCACCUGUGACAGCAUUGAAGAGACGAAGUUCAUUGCUUCUACUCCCAAUCUUAUAGUGUAGAAACGCACAACGGGGCCGGCAGCUUUUUAAACCAAGCGUGUUGGGAGUCGACGUUUGAAUUUCACAACAGAAAUACACCUGUUCACUCUGCAGUGGGACGAACUCGGAAUCAUUAUGGGUAUAUACUUUGAGACGUCAGACAUGCACUGCCGUGUUGUCAUAACCGUGUUACCUGAGCACGGCUAAUUGAAAUCGACAAAUGAAACGGAUGGUGAGAACCUCGGCCGCGCGCGGUUGACAAAACAAGCGACGCAAACCCAGAGCCCUUGCACCUGAGCUGGUCAAGUGCAGUGUGACUGCAGCUGAAGUACCUUCAAGUGAAUGUUGACGUUCUUGGUAGUCCUAUAACGAACACACUGUCAUCUUGACUAGAAGUUGACAUCUGUGAAUUCUUCUUCGCAGACAUCAAGGACCUGCUUGUAUUUUUGAGAGGCAUCGUUGUCGACUCAUCUCAUCAACUUUGCGUGGCUGCGUCGCACGAGUAGAAAGCAACAACCCGUGGGCGUGUCUUGGAGAUUUCAUUUCUGGAGCGCUUACCAUUAAUUCGAAUGUUUAUAACAUUUUUCACUGUGUCAUUGCAGAAAGUUGCAACAUCCAAACAGUCUUUUUGAGUAAAGAUGCCCACUGAACGGCAGUCAUCAAAGGACGCCUCAUCCUAAAUGUGUUGCAGCUUGGCUCGUGCAUCUACCGGCAGUUUUUGUGUGUUCCUACUUCCGCUAGACUAAAGCGUUCCCUUUUUUACUCACCGAAGGCGGGUGAAAGUCUGUACUGCAAGAUCGCCUUACGUGACAAGUGGCUUGUUCACAGUCGGACCGGAGUGAAGGGUCCUCCACCAUGCAUCCAGCCGGGCUGUACGUGCUGUCUCUCGGGGCACUGGUCCUCGUGUUCCUCGCUCAGCAA